AACGAACGCUGGCGGCAGGCCUAACACAUGCAAGUCGAACGCUCGUAGCAAUACGGGAGUGGCAGACGGGUGAGUAACGCGUGGGAAUCUACCCAUUGGUACGGAAUAACUCAGGGAAACUUGAGCUAAUACCGUAUGUGCCCGAAAGGGGAAAGAUUUAUCGCCAUUGGAUGAGCCCGCGUCGGAUUAGCUAGUUGGUGGGGUAACGGCCCACCAAGGCGACGAUCCGUAGCUGGUCUGAGAGGAUGAUCAGCCACACUGGGACUGAGACACGGCCCAGACUCCUACGGGAGGCAGCAGUGGGGAAUAUUGGACAAUGGGCGCAAGCCUGAUCCAGCCAUGCCGCGUGAGUGAUGAAGGCCCUAGGGUUGUAAAGCUCUUUCGGCGGGGACGAUAAUGACGGUACCCGCAGAAGAAGCCCCGGCUAACUUCGCGCCAGCCGCCGCAGUAA
rnacentral:rRNA from 1 species